UGGGGAAUAUUGCACAAUGGGCGCAAGCCUGAUGCAUCAACGCCGCGUGAACGAUGAAGGUCUUCGGAUCGUAAAGUUCUGUUGCAGGGGAAGAUAAUGACGGUACCCUGUGAGGAAGCCCCGGCUAACUACGUGCCAGCAGCCGCGGUAAUACGAAGGGGGCUAGCGUUAUCCGGUUUUACUGGGCGUAAAGGGUGCGUAGGUGGUCCUUCAAGUCGGUGGUUAAAGGCUACGGCUCAACCGUAGUAAGCCGCCGAAACUGGAGGACUUGAGUGCAGGAGAGGAAAGUGGAAGUCCCAGUGUAGCGGUGAAAUGCGUAGAUAUUGGGAGGAACACCAGUAGCGAAGGCGGCUUUCUGGACUGCAACUGACACUGAGGCACGAAAGCGUGGGUAGCAAACAGG
rnacentral:rRNA from 1 species